CAAUUUUUUUUUUUUUUUAAAACAUUGAAGAAAACAUUCAAUCUCCCAGCCAAGGCCUCCGAGCCUUUACCACAGCAAUUAUGAAGGACACUGAGGUUUGGUUCUAUCCUUGUCAUUUCAGAAUCCAAAGACAAAAGGAAACAUCAAGGCAUCCAGGUGUUAGAAAAAAGCAGAUUGUUCUAUAAGGGAACAAGAAGACCAAUUCCUGGCUUCUGAUAGCAAUGAGGACCGUCAUUCAACUGAACUUUCCUUACAGUGGUGGAAAAGAAAAACAGUGACUGGAAACGAAGGAUUCUGAGCAAAAUAAUCAAAUUUGAAGGUGAAACAAACAAACCAACAAAAAUGAACCAUGUUCAGAGAAGCAAUAAGUAGGCAAAGUACCAAGUAGCCCAUCUGCACUCAGGAAGGUGGCAGAGGGAUUCCUGCUGGGAAGAGCAGUGUGAUCCCAGAUGGCAGCAGAACGCAGAGGACCGAGCAGGAGAUGGUUGACUAUAAAGGCGUAAAGUACAGCGCAGGGAGAUACUCAGUAUUCAUGACAACCUCAGGUACGAGAGGCCUAGCACACUCCGAGAGGAAAGCGAAUACAGAGCAUCACGUUAUUGCACGGAAACAAGGGAUGGUGUGAGAGACCCAUGGAGGACCCUGUGUAGUCUGAUGCUGUAUAUGGACUGUCAUCAGCUUCCCUUUCUCCUCAGCUGCUUCUCAAGACGAGGCCGGAAGAGCAAGCGCCUGAAAGUUAAAGGCACCAAGCGGUGAUCCGUGCCCAGCCCCAACUCAACUUUGACAAUUUCACAUUAGAGCCCAGUUGGACUUAAAGCUCACUACAUAGUCCAGACUCUGCUCACACCCAUGACGGUCCUCUUGCCUUGGCCACUGGAGUGCUAUGAUGACAGGUGUGAGCCAUCACAUUCAUCAUCCAGCAUUGAUUUUUUAAAAAAAUGAUUUACUUUUAUUUGCAUGUGUGCAUGUGUGCAUACACAUGUGGAGAUGUAUACGCAAGUGCAAGUGCUCACGGAACCCAGAGACAUCAGAUUUCCCUGAACUUAUAGGUGCUUGUGACCCUUUCAGCAUGCAUCCUGAGAACUGAACUCAGGUCCUGCGCAAGAGCAGUAUGUGCUCUUAAUUACUGAGCUACGCCCCCAGCCUUGCAGCUUUGAUUUUAAUAGCAGCAAGAUUUAGUCCCAAAGCACAGACCUUUCCUGUUCCUUUAGCUGGAAUGGGUGUAGUGGAUACAAGACAGUGAGAAAUGAGAUGAAAAAUUGGCUCACUUCUUAAACCUUAUGUUCCCUGUUUUUAGCAAGUAAAAUGGACUUGAAGGAGGCCCAUUUUCUCCUAAUGGGUUUG
rnacentral:lncRNA from 1 species